UCAAAUGAAUUGACGGGGAGCACCACAACGGGUGGAGCUUGUGGUUUAAUUGGAUUCAACGCCGGAAAUCUUACCGGGACCGACAGCAAUAUGAAGGCCAGGCUGAAGACUUUGCCGGAUUAGCUGAGAGGUGGUGCAUGGCCGUCGUCAGUUCGUACUGUGAAGCAUCCUGUUAAGUCAGGCAACGAGCGAGACCCACGCCCACAGUUGCCAGCGUACUCUCCGGAGUGACGGGUACACUGUGGGGACCGCCGCUGCUAAAGCGGAGGAAGGAAUGGGCAACGGUAGGUCAGUAUGCCCCGAAUAUCCCGGGCUACACGCGAGCUACAAUGGUUGGUACAAUGGGUAUCUACCCCGAAAGGGGACGGGAAUCUCCUAAAACCAAUCUUAGUUCGGAUUGAGGGCUGCAACUCGCCCUCAUGAAGCUGGAAUCCGUAGUAAUCGCGUUUCAACAGAACGCGGUGAAUACGUCCCUGCUCCUU
rnacentral:rRNA from 1 species